AGGGUUUGAUCAUGGCUCAGAACGUACGCUGGCGGCACGCCUAACACAUGCAAGUCGAACGAAGUAGCAAUACUUAGUGGCAGACGGGUGAGUAACAUGUAGGUAUCUGCCCUUUGGCCUGGAAUAACACGAGGAAACUUGUGCUAAUACCGGAUAAGUCUUUACAGAGAAAGCUUUAUGCACCAUUGGAUGAGCCUGCACUUGAUUAGUUUGUUGGUGGGGUAAUGGCCUACCAAGACUGUGAUCAAUAGCUGAUUUGAGAGGAUGAUCAGCCACAUUGGGACUGAGACACGGCCCAAACUCCUACGGGAGGCAGCAGUGGGGAAUCUUGCACAAUGGAGGAAACUCUGAUGCAGCGAUGCCGCGUGAGUGAAGAAGGCCUUUGGGUUGUAAAGCUCUUUCGUCGGGGAAGAAAAUGACUGUACCCGAAUAAGAAGGUCCGGCUAACUUCGUGCCAGCAGCCGCGGUAAUACGAAGGGACCUAGCGUAGUUCGGAAUUACUGGGCUUAAAGAGUUCGUAGGUGGUUGAAAAAGUUGGUGGUGAAAUCCCAGAGCUUAACUCUGGAACUGCCAUCAAAACUUUUCAGCUAGAGUAUGAUAGAGGAAAGCAGAAUUUCUAGUGUAGAGGUGAAAUUCGUAGAUAUUAGAAAGAAUACCAAUUGCGAAGGCAGCUUUCUGGAUCAUUACUGACACUGAGGAACGAAAGCAUGGGUAGCGAAGAGGAUUAGAUACCCUCGUAGUCCAUGCCGUAAACGAUGUGUGUUAGACGUUGGAAAUUUAUUUUCAGUGUCGCAGCGAAAGCGAUAAACACACCGCCUGGGGAGUACGACCGCAAGGUUA
rnacentral:rRNA from 1 species